AUGACUGAGCAAACUCCUCAUGGGAGAUGAUGAAGGACAGGGAAGCUUGGUGUGCUACAGUCCAUGGGGUCGCAAAGAGCUGGACAUGACUCAGUGACUGAACAACAGGAGUGGGGAAGGAGGGGAGUUCCUUCAGGGCUGGCACAGGUGUGCUCACUCCCACAGUGCUGGCCACAGCAUCUCUGCACAUGACCCGUUGCCUCCAUCUUGAAUCAAGGAUGAAGCACAGAGCUUCUUCAUAAGACCAGUGGAACUGCAAAGUCAGCACGGUCAUUUUUGAACCAGGAGCUCAGGAGUCAAGUGCCCGGUACAAGGCCUCUGCACCCAGCACCCUGUGAGCAAAUGAAACUAGACAGAGCACAAAGGAAAAAAAAAGGUUACUCAAGUCCUAAAACUGAGGAGAUACUGUUUGAUGCUGGAUCAGGGAAAUUCCACAGGGACAUGGAUUGGGAUUUUCAUUAUUUAUUAAAAUAAAAAAAAUAACUAUGGCAAAGAAUUUUUAAAUUA